rnacentral:rRNA from 1 species
CGGACGUGGGUAACCGUGCCUCAUACAGGGGAGUAGCAGCUGGAAACGGCUGAUAAAACCGCAUAAGCGCACAGCAUCGCAUGAUGCAGUGUGAAAAACUCCGGUGGUAUGAGAUGGACCCGCGUCUGAUUAGCUGGUUGGUGAGGUAACGGCCUACCAAGCCGACGAUCAGUAGCCGACCUGAGAGGGUGACCGGCCACAUUGGGACUGAGACACGGCCCAA